rnacentral:sRNA from 1 species
AAAUAAUAUAAUGGCACAUUAUUCUAGUCAAUAAAAUCGUUAUGAGGACGGGGAUAAACUAUCGUUAAAGAGCACAUCUAUGAAACCUCUGGUGUUUGCUUUUGAUGCCCAAUUGGGGGUGAAUGCUGGAGAUGAGAAUUAAGGGCCAAAUGUAAUGGCAUACAUUAUGUGACCCUUAUUUCGCGGAGACCUAAUUUUGUAAUAUGCCUAUACGAACAUCUUCUGAUGGACUUAUUAUGAAUUAGGAGUAAACCUACUUUGUGGCGAAAGUUAUGAGUAGCGUAGCUUGUCUUGAGUGAGAGUUUUGGGAUUAGGUAAAGGUUAAGUAGUUUAGGCCAAAACAAAUUAAUCAUACUAUGAAAUUGCUCUUGCAAAAAAGGAUUAAUAACGAAGAGUUGGUGGAGAAAUUCCCUAGAGUGUAUCUAUUUGUGAGAUUAAAGUUGGUACUAAGUGGUGAUCAAGCUGUAUGAAUGGUAACAUCAUACCUUUUCUUUUAAUGGGGAACCACAUAUUUGGUAACGAAUAUGCAAGAAUCGGGGAAAGCCUGCUUGACCUAAGGCUAAGAAUUUAUCACAUUUAGAGCCAUUAUUUUU